rnacentral:tRNA from 1 species
AAGACAUUAGUAAAAUUAUUACAUAACUUUGUCAAAGUUAACUUAUAGGUUAAACCCCUUUAUGUCUUU